rnacentral:rRNA from 1 species
UACGAAGGGGGCUAGCGUUGUUCGGAUUUACUGGGCGUAAAGCGCACGUAGGCGGGCCGUUAAGUCAGGGGUGAAAUCCCGGAGCUCAACUCCGGAACUGCCUUUGAUACUGCUAGUCUCGAGUCCGGAAGAGGUGAGUGGAAUUCCGAGUGUAGAGGUGAAAUUCGUAGAUAUUCGGAGGAACACCAGUGGCGAAGGCGGCUCACUGGUCCGGUACUGACGCUGAGGUGCGAAAGCGUGGGGAGCAAACAGG